rnacentral:rRNA from 1 species
UACGUAGGGGGCAAGCGUUGUCCGGAUUUAUUGGGCGUAAAGCGCGCGUAGGCGGCCACGCAGGUCCGCUGUGAAAACUCGAGGCUCAACCUCGAGCUGGCGGUGGAAACUGCGUGGCUAGAGUCCGGGAGAGGGGACUGGAAUUCCCGGUGUAGCGGUGGAAUGCGCAGAUAUCGGGAGGAACACCCGUGGCGAAGGCGGGUUGCUGGGCUGACACUGACGCUGAGGCGCGAAAGCUAGGGGAGCGAACGGG